UGGUUAAAAUAUGUAAAUGGUUUAAAUCAAUGAAAGCAACAUCUACUAAAAUGCACUGUUUCGGGGCUGAAAGUGUUUGUAGCAGCGAUGAUAUCGUUCCUGAACAAUAAGGUUGAACUGUAGCAUUGCUGUUGUAUGUGAAUGAUGUAUAUGUCUUUGAAGUCGUCUGGUCUUUUAAUGAAACAUUUGGGUGUGGCAGCCAUCUUGUGUAUGGGGUUAAGUGCCUGUGAUGUAAAUCAUGCCGACUCUAAAGAUCACUCCGCGGUAGCAACGACUUCUAGACAUGAAGAUAGUUUGAUUAAAAGCACCACUAAGGUUAAAACUCUAGAUGAUGCAGCGGGACGAACUUUCUUGCCUGAGGGCGUCCCAGAUCAAACCUCAAAACUAUCCGAAGCAGACCAACAAUAUGCAGGCCGUUAUCAUACUCGUAUUUCAUGUGAAGAUAAUUUUGCCGAUUGUGAAACAGGCGAGGCAGAAUAUAUUUUAAAUUUAUUACCUGAUGGAACUGCGUAUUGGAAUGUUGUUCAUUUUGGUCGUGUUGGUAGUAAAGAUGGCUCAAAAAGUGCAGUCAUCAAUCAAUUAUGUCCUUCCUUGAAAUGGAAGGUCGAACCUGCCGUUCAUGAGUUAACGAUUCAAUGUCCUUUAUCAGAUGUUAACUUCUAUUUUGAUAUUGAUGCAAAACAAAGAUUAGUCGUAAAUUUAGAAAAAUUAUUUUAUAGCGAUUUUGGUAAAAACCGUGAGUUUUUGGAACAAAAUUAUUUUGUUCCUACAAAAGCUUAUGUACUUGAUAAAGAGUAAAGUCAAUUUUAGCAAAAUCAAAAAGAGCGCAAUAUCAAUUGCGCUCUUUUUGAUUUUAGAGUCUAUACAUCAUUAGUAGUCGAAACUAAAGUGUUCCGCUGGUAAUGAAGUCAGCGUACGAGAAGUCGUUACCAUUGACUCUGCAUGACCUUGAGCACGUGGUAAUAAACGGUCAAAGUAGAAAUCUGCAACUUUAAUUUUUGCUUUAUAGAACUCAGGAGUUUCUUGGCCAUUACCUGCUUCUAAUUUUUCAGAAGCGACAACUGCUUGUUGUGCCCAGAAAUAAGCCAUCAUCACAUAGCCUGAGAACAUCAAGAAAUCUACAGAAGCAGAAGAUACGAUGUCACGAUCUUUACGUGCAGCAAGCAUGAUACGAACAGUUAAAGUGUUCCACUGAGCACAAAGCUUUGUUAAGUCCCAAGCAAAACGACGUAAGUAUUUAUUACGCGCAUGUGCAGCACAGAACUUUAAGAUCUCAGCAGUGUAUUCACGAACUACUUUACCUUUUGAGCUUAACAACACUUUACGGCCAAUCAAAUCAAGUGCUUGAACACCAGUUGUUCCUUCAUACAGAGUAGAGAUACGGGCAUCACGUACGAUUUGCUCCAUACCCCAUUCUUUGAUGUAACCAUGGCCGCCGUACACUUGCAUACCGUGGUUAGCAGCUUCUAGGCCAAGCUCGGUCAAGAAACCUUUUAAGAUUGGUGUAUAGAAACCAAG
rnacentral:rRNA from 1 species